rnacentral:rRNA from 1 species
AACGCGAAGAACCUUACCUGGGCUUGAACCGCGCAGGACCAUCUUUGGAAACAGAGACUUCCCGCAAGGGACCUGUGUAGAGGUGCUGCAUGGCUGUCGUCAGCUCGUGCCGUGAGGUGUUGGGUUAAGUCCCGCAACGAGCGCAACCCUUACUCAUAGUUGCCACCCGCAAGGGGGAACUCUAUGAGGACUGCUCCGGAUAACGGAGAGGAAGGUGGGGAUGAGGUCAAGUCAGCAUGGCCUUUAUGUCCAGGGCUACACACGUGUUACAAUGCGCGCCACAAAGCGUUGCAAACCCGCGAGGGGGAGCUAAUCGCAAAAAAGCGCGCUCAGUUCGGAUUGCAGUCUGCAACUCGACUGCAUGAAGCCGGAAUCGCUAGUAAUGGCGCAUCAGAACGGCGCCGUGAAUACGUUCCCGGGCCUUGUA